rnacentral:lncRNA from 1 species
CGGACACGCAGGUCUUGCCACUACGGAAAAAACCGUAAUUUCCCCUCUCAGAGCCUUCUUGCUCUGUCUGCGGAAUGGAAGGCCCGCGAAUGCCGCACGAGGUUCGAACCAUUUUACGUCGUCUGCUUCGAUAGUUAAAGUGGGUGGGACGCUGCAGCUACCCAGUGAGACCGCGACGGGUGCUUUUUGUAGCUAUCCACCCUGAAAGGCGUAACCUCUCCAACAGCUCCAUUCUUCCUGCAAUUGUAUGUCACUUUCACUAAACCCGGACAUGCGACGACCGUUCAGGGUUGGACAAAAAAGGAACUUCCCGGUUCCCGGAGCCCAACGGGCAGCCAUGUCUACUUGAUAGUCGCCGGCCCGAACGUACCAGGGAACGUAUUUCCACAGCCGACGUAAAAUUAACGUCGUGAUAUCAUCAUUGGUUCGGCCUGUUAGCUACCGGACGUCGGCGUCACGUCCCAACCUGUUCCGUGGCCAUCGAACGGUAGCUACAUCCCUAUGCGUUACACAGGGUAAUUGAAUGCCGUUCUACGGAGGUGUCCUGGUGGCAGGGACCAGUACCCAUGGAAAGCUAUGGUGAUUUGGAUUGGUUCCGUUGCGCAAACAGCCGCAAUAGCCUUCCUUCAUGGGGUCUCUUCCCGGUGGACAAUCGCCGUAGGGAGAUGGACUGCGGAGCCUGUCUUCGAAGGAGGGCAAGAAGGUGUGCGUGUCCUGAAGCCGUAAACAGGAACACAUCUGAACUCUGUUUAGGCAGUCAAUGUCUCUUGAGAGAAUGUUCUUGAUUGGAAACAACUGGACUGCUUAAGACAGCUAAAAGUGUUGGAUUUCACACCGGUCUUCAUGUUUGCUUUGAAGCAUGUAAAAAUGUACUCCCUAAUCUGUUGUGCAGGCGGGCAUGCUCGCUGCAUGAGUUCUUGGCACUUUCUUUUGUCACAUCUCCCUCCUACACUCGCGCUAGGGAUUACCCGAGAAGAUCCCGAACCCCAAACCAACCGUCCUCCUGGGCAGUGCGGUGUUUUAGAGCGGCACGUGUGUAUUCUUCAGGAGUGUUACAGAGGAUAGUGACCAGCGGAAGUGCGAAUUUAUAAUUCACAAGAUGGGCAGAUGUGUGUGUAUCUUGCCCACCCAGGAGCACAUCACUCUCUCACCCGCGUUCGUUGCUUACAGCUUCUGUUUUUCGGUUCAUGGCUGUUCUGUAAACCAUGCCGAUCUUUUCUGCCAGUAGACUGUACCACUUUUCAUUUUAUCAAUCUGUUCGUUCCCG